GUUUCCGUAGGGUGGCGGUUAUCACGUUCGCCUAACACGCUAAAGGUCCCCGGUUCGAGACCGGGCGGAAACU
rfam:Ciona savignyi cont_18461, whole genome shotgun sequence.